rnacentral:lncRNA from 1 species
UGCUUUACAAAAUUUAUUUUAGAGGCCUUGUACACACACUACACAUUACCACACACACAACACACACUUGCGCACAGAAACACUUGAAAUGAUAAGAUUAUCAUAGUAACACAUUCGGAUGAAAAGAUCCAGCAAGGCGCAACAUGGACUAAUAUUCGACUGAUAACUAAUUUUCUGCGUUACCGAUACUCGCAGGUUAACCUCGAAAUUAUUGUUAUAAUUGUAGAGAAUGUAUCUUCUGUUAUCAGUUGCUGCAAUACGGACUGAAUUUCUAUUGAUAUUUUGGCUGCUGUUUCUAAAUCUCAUCUCUUUUGGAAUAAUCAUAGUAAAUCUCCAGUUAAUGGAAGAAGAAAAGAAUAAUGCUCAACAAAUAUACGUGUUCUAUGAUCGUACAGAAGAGUAACUAAUGGUCUCCGCAUGAUCCUUGUCUUUCAAAGAAUUAAAUACAAGUUCUUAGAACCAAGCAUUAAACAUGAAAACAGAUAAAGUAGUUGCCCUUUCAUCACAUAAGGUCACUGACAGUUUAAAAUCAAAGUUUUUCCAAUGGCUACAUUUAAAAUACAAUUGGUGGCACAGUUUUACAGAAACGUAUUACAUUAUCUAGUUUUAUAAUAAUGCAGUAUUUUUAAUUGUGCUGCUACUGUCAAGUUUUCAGAGUGGAAUUAUAUAUUACAUGUGUGAUCCUAAUAAUCUUUUGCCCACUUUAUAAACAUCUGCUCACACACAAACAAACACACAUGCUAUAUUUAUAAAUGUAGCAUGUCACAUGACUUUUAUUUUAUGAGAUUGAUAUUCAUGAUUACCUUAUGGUUCUCUUCUGUUUCAGUAUUCACAAUAUACUAUUGGCAAAAAUGGUGAAAAUAUGCAUAAUAUAAACAUGAAUUUUGAUGAAAAUUUCAGUGGCAGGUCUCUUAAAAAGAAAGCUGUCAAAAGACUGUCAACUUAUAAGCUGGAGUUCUUAAACUAAUUAAUAUAACCAUUUAGUUGUAGUGACAAAGUUAUGCAAUCUGAAUGAAAAUAUAACAUAUAUAUAUAUAUUCAGCACAAUAAUCAAGCAUUCCUAAAGCAAAAUUUCUUUUCAAAUGAAAACUUUAUGGAAAGAUUUUUUCCUAUAUGUUUAGUUUUCCUUUUUUCUUUUGUUACUUUGAAAAUUAAGAAAUUGGUAAACAAAUUUUCAAUAAUUCUAAGUAUCCUAGGUGUUUGAAUAGUGGCCUUAUAUAUGAAAAUGUGCUCUUAUACAAAUAUGACUAGGAAAUCUGUAUUUGAUUAUGUACCAAUAUGACAUAUUCGUAUACACGUGAGUGUGUGUUUGUGCAUAUGUGUGCUGCUAUACUCUAUUAUAGAAUAUAUCUAUAGAAUAAUUUUUUCAUCCUGCUGUAUUUAUCAGUGAUUGUAAACAACAUUUCUGCAUAUAGUCAUGAACAGAAAAAGCAGAAAACAACGUGACAUACAUUGAUUCAUUUCUUCAAUUCUUGAAUUAGGAUUUCAUCAGCAGCUAUGGUCAUUUUACUGUCCAUGAACAUUGCUUAUAAAACCCACUAUCAUUAGGUGGUGUACAGUUGCUGAUAAAAAAUGAAUUCAAAGAUUAAAACUUAGCAUGUCUAGAUCUUUUCUGCCUUUCUCUCUACAAUAUUGCAUGCACACAUCUGUUGUUUACAAUCGUGAAAAAAUCUAUAAAUACCUUCCAUAGUAUAACAGAACAAAUAGCAAUGAAAUAAAAUGCUGUUAACGCACCACUAA